rnacentral:lncRNA from 1 species
CUGGCCGCCGUAGAGACCCCAGCUCCACAUAAAGCCACAUUCUGAGGUCCUGGGAGUUCGACCGGCAGCUUAUGAAUCUGGAGGACACAAUUGAUUCAGCCCGCAACCAUCGCGGAGGCUUUGCUUGGGGCACAGCUGGCAGAGUGUGAGUCACCCAGCGCCAGCACCACACGGUGGUGGUCGGGGGUAGCACCCGGGGCUCCAGGCGCAGGGAGCCCAGCUGCAGUGCGGGUGCUGCUGAGAGCUGGAGAACGCUGGGGAGACACGCGGCCCGGGCUUCCCGGGCCUGGCUGGCUGCACUGCCCCCCACACCCGGGGGUCUGACUUAGCAGGUCUUAGGGGUGUCCAAGAACCUACUUUUAACCAGUCCCUAGGUACCUUAAGACCAGGAGGAGGAUUUGGAAGAUCCCGCUUUGUGCUAAUUUCAUCUAAUCCUUGCCAUAGGCCUAUUAGAGGCCCAAGUAAAAGGAGACCCAGCACCACCUGCCAUAACUCACAGUGGCUAAGGGCGCGAUGUUGGAGCCUGUGCCUGGGGUAGACCCUGGUCAUGCUACUGAAACCUCUGUGCUCUGCCCUCCUCUGCUGUGGAAGGGAGGAAGUGACAGCACCUGUCUUCUGUUGGCAUUCUGAGGAUAAAGUGGGUGUGUAUAUGCACAGGACUUAGCUCAGGAUCGGGCAUGGGCAAGCACAGUGCAAGCACCUGUCCUAACUGUGCACUGUUUCCCAUCAUUACUAUUUAAUUAUUAUUACUCUCAUUCCUCUCCUUGGCUAAUGGGGUGUGACGGCUGGAACGGGAACCAGGUGCAUGCAUCGGACGAGAAGCGCACUUGGACUGGCCUCUGUGUCUGAUGGUGAAUUGGUGUUUCUGAGGUUCAACCUCUGGAUAGUGCUUCUGUGCACUAACCAGUCUCCACAAGCCUAGUAACCAAUCUUCAGAUGACUAGUAACCAGUCUCCAGAUGACUAGUAACUGAUUGUAACCAAUUGCCAGAUGGCUAGUAACCAAUCUUCAGAUGAUCAGUAACCAGAUCAUGACUAGUAGCCAAUCUCCAGAUGACUACUAACCAGUCUCCAGAUGACUGAUAACUAACCAGUCUCCAGAUGGCUAGUAACCAGUCUCCGAAUGACUUGU